AAUGCUGGGAUUUAAACGAGGGUAAGCUGACUCCAGAGGCAUCAUUCUUAACUGCUGUGCAACACUCUCUGCUAAGAGCUAACAUAGGAUUGAAAUUUUAGUAGGUGGGAGAUUUUUCUUAAUCCUCACAGCAACUUGGAUGUAGUAUUACCCUGUUUUCACAGGUGCAGAAACUGAGUUUCAAGUAGAUCCAGCAACUUGCCCAAGUCGUAAAACCAGAAAGAGUGGAGCCGAGAAUCAAAGCUUGGAUGCCUGACCAGAGUGGACCUUUGAAACACUCCUCUGUAUAUUGUCUUCAGGCUGCCUGUAUUUACAAACUCUGAUAUUGACCUCAUUACUUCUCCCCGUUCUGCAGGCAGAAGACUGCUAUGAGAGCACUUAGGACCCAAGCGACAUCAGCCUUGGAACAGGCAAAUAAAAAUGGAAAGCUAA
rnacentral:lncRNA from 10 species